CCUACGGGCGACAGCAGUGAGGAAUAUUGGUCAAUGGACGAGAGUCUGAACCAGCCAAGUCGCGUGAGGGAUGACUGCACUGUGGAUUGUAAACCUCUUUUGUCUGGGAAUAAAACCUGGUAUGCGUACCCUCUUGUAUGUACCUGAUGAAUAAGGAUCGGCUAACUCCGUGCCAGCAGCCGCGGUAAUACGGAGGAUGCGAGCGUUAUCCGGAUUUAUUGGGUUUAAAGGGGGGGUAGGCGGGUUGUUAAGUCAGUGGUGAAAGGCUGCGGCUCAACCGUAGAAUCGCAGUUGAAACUGGCAGUCUUGAGUAGAGUAGAGGUGGGCGGAAGUCGCGGGGUAGCGGUGAAAUGCUUAGAUAUCACGAAGAACUCCGAGUGCGAAGGCAGCACGCUGG
rnacentral:rRNA from 1 species